UCAACUAAACGGAUUAUCCCGUUUUGUUUUUCUUUGUGUCUAGUUCAAGUUACUUAUGUCCCACAAAAGGAAGAAAUAUCAACCUGCUGCUGCUCUGACCUUGAUUCAAGUUUCAGCUUGACAAUACUAGUGUGAUUGCUGAUAGAAAAAAGAAGUGUUAAAUUCAUCUGACUAUCUUUAAACUACAUUUUGGGAGAGAAAGUUAGAAGAAAUAAUAGG